rnacentral:lncRNA from 1 species
AAAAAGCCAUCUCAAUCACCAGAUGGUUUAGGUACCCAAGAACAAGACUCACAACGCCUCUUGCAACAGUAGAUGAUCCAAUAUCAACCCCAAGCUGAAUCAAUGCCAGGAUUUCCAGAUAAGAAUUACAUGAAAGAUGGUUAGCAGCUAAAUUUUUUAUGCAUCAUGCAUAUCAUCUAUUAGGCCCAAUUCUUAAUUUUCAUGACCAAUUUUCCUGCGUGUGUAUAUGUUUUCCGCAGACCAAAGCAUAUUCAUACAGCAUACGCAUAAACUCAAACAGACAAACACAAUAUAUUUGCUUUGAUAGUCUUAAUUUUCCUAACAAGUUGCUAUUCUACUGAUUUCCACGCAAUAUUUACCUCCAAAUAGUUAUUUCCCUGAAAAUAAUUGAUUUCCAAUGCUUGCCCAACUAGGCACGCCUUCUUGCCCACACUCUGCUUUACUAUCCAUGAACCCUGAAACAGGAAUGUCAAGACUUACUAUACAAAGGCACAAAUGACAACUAAUAGACAUUUUGCCUUCUGAACAUGGACUAUGCAUAGUCAUAGGGGAUGGAAAAUUUUAGAACAGAGUUCCUUAGAAUUCAGUGAUUAUGUGAAAUCGAGUAAAUCACUAACCCAGGAGGAAACACAUGUGCUCAAAAUAAUGUUACUACAAUAUCAAAAUGAGUUCAAGGAAUUGGUAAGAGGUAAAUACAAGGAAAGUAGAGGAAAAUGUAAUUAACUGGAUCACUUGAUGAGAUUCAAUCUCAUAUGCAUAAUAACUGGGAAAAGCAUCUAUGUAUAAGUGCGUUAUUAGGCUGCAAUUUAUAGCACAUUUACUCACCUUAGAUAUGUACGGUAUAAGUUUAAAUCUUGAAUUUCUGAAGGCAUCAUCGCCCUUAAUAAAACUCUCUAGCAAAGGAGCAUCUUCCACGGGAGUAUUCAUCAUGUAGUAUAGUGCUAGGCUAUAUGUAGUAGAACCUGGAACCUGGUUCAUAGAAACACAUAAUUAGCGCUGUGCUGAAGUUUAGUCACCACCUAAGCACAAAAAGACUAUCAAUUUUACCUGAAUAUUUACAAUGAAAAAGAACUCGGGCCCUCCUUGUGUUGCAUAUUUCUGCAAUUUACAAAACUUCAGUAAAUGGAUUUUUCUUUAUAAUGGAAAUCAUUAGUUGCUACACUAUGGCUAAAUAAAAGUGAAGCCAGGAAAAAUAUAAUUAAAGUCUAGAUAACAUAAUCAUACGCAAUGACCAACCUGAACAAUGCUCCCAGGACGGCCACCAAGGUCAUCUUCCCUUUUGUCAGAUCUCACCCAAUCUGCAGCAACCAUUUGCAUCAAGGUUCCCUUCGCUUUAAUCUAGUAAUUAUUACCAGACAUUUGAGAUUAGUGAUGAAGUGCUUGGUUAAACCAAAUAAAAAGAAAAGGAUAACUGCAUAUAUUGUAGUUAAUCUGCUGUUAGUAUCUUUCCUCAAAGCAUCCAAACCAAACUACGUAACAUAAAAAGAGAAAACAUAAUUUAGUGUUUGACCAAUAAUUAGAAGAUCACAGAUGUAACAAAAUGGAGAAAGAAUUGCAUGCACAGGUGGGGAUUACCAAGAGCUAUGUCCACACAAAAAUGGUAGUAGCCAUCAUACCUUCAGGCGGUCAUUGAGAUAAUUUUCUCCACGAAUCAGGAAAGUAGAAGGAUCUGCUUCAGUCAAGCUGCAAGGUAAUGUACAAGUAGGAUCCUGUGGAAGAGUGGAUCCAUAUGAGCAAGUGAGACUACUGUCUUCCCUGACCAUCUCUUGCAAGUCAACAUAACCCCUCUUCUGAACUGAAACAGAAUCUCUAGACAUUGUAAAUCAAUGGGAAAAAAAUCAUGCUUAAUCAUAAUCUGGAAUCAAAGAGGAUAAAAAUCACCUGCAAGAUCAUGCAAUCUUUUUACAAAGUUAGCAGCAGUUGAUAACUUCUGAUGACGAAUGUCCUGAAAUUCCCAUCAAAGCAGGACAUGGAAAGGCCGAAGUCAAGCAAAAUAUGAAGUUUGACCAAAUUUCCAGUGCAAAAUUUUUAAAGAAUAACAUGAGAUGAGCAGUCCAGCAUCAUAAAAAUGCUGAUAAGUAAAUAUCCCAAGAUGCAGCCCCACCUUUGAAUGUACCAUCUUCAAAUGCCAUGGGCAGUGAUGAACAUGAUUGCACUGAGCACCCAAUGGGUUUGACAGGAUAAAUGCUAUCUUUUAGGGUUAUAUGAAAACUGUACAAAAUUAAAGUAUGCCUAAAUACAGCUUGUCUUCAAUUGAAGCUCUUGGAAGUAGGAAUGUCACCAGCAAUGGCUGAACAUACUUAUUAUUAAGAAGUGGAGUUUAAAGCCUAACUCAACCUUACAAAACCGGCUUGUAAGGUGAGAUUUACACCUCACUUAUAUAUUAUAAUUUGGCCUUAUCUCUAGUCGAUAUAGGACUUCCAACACACCCCCUUUACGCCGAGGUAUAGACAUCUCGUGCAUGAUAAUAGAAAGAAAUGGGUGGUCUGAUAAUAGCCCGACAACGGAUGGAAUAGAAAUGCCCAAGAAAUAAGAAAUAUCGCUAGGAUAGACUCUAACCAUGCUCUGAUACCAUAUUAAGAAGUGGAGUUUAAAGGCUAACUCAACCCUAUAAAACCGGCUUGUAAGGUGAGGUUUGCACCUCACUUAUAUAUAUAUUAUAAUGUGGCCUUAUCUCUAAUCAAUAUGAAACUUCCAACAAACCUCCUUUAAGCCGAGGUAUAGACAUCUCGUGUGUGAUAGUAAAAAUGGAUGGUCCGAUGGUGGCCCGACAACGGGUAGAAUAGAAAUGCCCAAGAAAUAGGCUCUAACCUGGCUUUGAUACCAACUUGAAAAUAAGACCGAUUUAUUAUUCUCAAUCAUAAAAAAUACAUUCUCAUACCCUCUAUUUAUAAUAAUCUAGUUCUCCUAAAAAGGAAAAUAGAAAAACUAGGAAAAAUAAAAUAAAAUAAAAGAUUAUGUAUCUAUUUCCUCUAAUUAGGAAAAUUCUAAAGAUAUUAUCUCAAAUUACAACACUUAUAGAGGCAUCCAAAGAUUUUCAAGAAGCUAAAGAGAGAAAAUAGCUAGACUGUAUCAAAAAUAUAUAAAACUAUAUGUAAACUAUCUAGGCAGAAGCACGCAAAUAUAGGAGCAUAGAGUAAAGGGAAGGGGCCGAAUUGCACAGUUGAUCAGCCUCAAAAAGGUAAGCAUUCGAUUAGAAAGCCUACUAUUGUGAAUAACUUAGUAAACCACUCCAAUAUCUAAAGGAUCAGGAAUUCAAGAUUACCUUUAACUGUUGAAACUUGUAAUUUCAAGCCAAUAAUAUUUCCAAAUUAUGCAUAGUUCAUCUGAUAUAGUGGUUAUUCCAUUAAUGUGAUGGCUAAGGCACGUGUAGGAAGUUUUUAAGAGAAUGGAGUGGCAUGGCAAGCCUAGAAAUGAAAUCAAAUAUAACAUGACACUCCGAUAUUUGAUUGCUUAAAAAGUGUAAUGAAGGGAGGGGGGUUUAAUUCAUGGCAUUCCCUCCUUCAACCCCCUGUAACACCCCCCCUCUCUAGGAGGGAAAAGUCAGGAUUUCAAGUGGCAUAGGAGGUAAUAGGAGCCCCCAUUGCCAUUCCAAUCCUUUUCUUAAUAAAUCCCAAACAAACUUUGUUUAAACUGUCAUUUCAUUCCUGUCCACUUCAGCCUUUUCCAUGCUUCCAAACAUAGCCUAGAGAAUGUUGUCCGUUGUAGACGUUUACUUUAUUCAUUUAAAAGUUGAAAUUCCAAAAUGAUUUACAUUGUUUUAAAAAGUUUCAUGCCAUAUCAGAGCAUAUAAAAGACUCUUAAACAUAUUGUUGGGUGUCUUAAGACUUAUGGAUUGUGGAGCAAAUAAAACCUUGACUGUCUACAAAAACUUAAGUCUAUCAAAACGUUCAGAACUAAAGUAGUGUCUAUUAACUAAUGAGGAAAGUAAUUUACCCCUAUUGAAAAACAGAUAUAAUAAACUGAGGAACAAUAAAUGACAUUUGAAAGCCAUGCAGUGAUUGAUAUUUAAAAACUAUAUAUUAAAGGAAAUGUCUUAAGAGCAAUCCCUAAAUAUUGAACGUCAAGACAAAAGCUACCUUAAAACUUCAGAUUAUUCACUUCAUUUCUGUGCAAUGAAAACAAAUAUUUCAACUAUCAUUUUUACCUGAGACCUUUGGUGACUAGAUUCAGUCAUCCACCCAUUUUCCGACUCGUCAUAGUCUGAUGGCUCUGGAACAUCAUAGAACUCAUCAUCAGCAUCAUUUAGAGUAACAAGGCUUGCAUGCUCUGAUUGAGUUUGAUCUACUUCUCCAACUGAGUUAUCAUGAUUGUUCUCAUCUGCCUUAAUUUCGGUAUCAGAAUUGGUGAUGCCCCCUUCCUUUCCAUGAAGCCCACUCUUUGUCGUCAACUCUCCAGAUGAAUAAUCAGGAGAAGAACAAUUCCCCUGUCUAGCUUUAAAUAACUCCCGCAAUGCUGCAAGUGCAAAAGAAAUUGGUAAAUAAAAUACUAACUAGAAUAUUAAAUCUUUUUAUCAAACAUGUUAACAACUAGCAAUGUAAAAUAAAUGUUGGCCAGCAGGAAAAUAAUUUUGAACAAUAAUGUAAACUUCUGAACAAAAUAAGACUACCAGCAACUCUCCCAAGCAUUUGAAUGGUUAUGGAAUGUGCUGAUGAGGAUUUAAGAUAAGAUCUCCAGCAUUUCCAAUCAAUAGCAAGCAUAUGUUUUACAACUGAUUGCUUUCCUUUGUUCACCGGUGAUAUAACAUACCCUCCACCUACAAAAGAAUACGAGUUGUCACCCUUCAACUACUCUAACCUACACUUCUACUAAACUUUCUACCAAGCAAUUUUCAUAGGCAUUAAAAAUUCCAAAAAAACAAUACCAGAAAUCAUCUAUACAUAAAUUGGAUAUUAUAAUGACAAUAGUGAAGGAGGAUGAUUUCAGAAUCAGUGACAGCUCUACUACUUUAAUUUCAGAUCAGAAUAAAGAUGAUUACAAGCAAAGAACAUUGUGAUUCCAAAUUACCAUCUUUAAGUUUCACAGUAUUAUUUAUUUUGAGGUAAAGUACAAGGCAAAUAGAAUAAUAGAAAAGAAAUAUUUACUAUUUCUACAGUUUAAGCAUACAUUACUUUUAAGGCAAGCACGCACAUAGCCUUUCUGGGGAGGGCACUUUUUAUGAAACACGGAAUGGUAAAGAAUAACUGUGACAAAGAAAACCAAAGAAGUUACUUCCAUUCAGAAUGUGUGUAUGUGUGUGAGUGUGAAAAUUUCUUCCAUAAUUCACUACUACCAUAUGUCCCAUCAUCUUCUCUCCUCCAAUAACGCCGCAACAAGAGAUCUCUUCGUUGCAUUCCCCUGUAAAACAUGUAUGAAAAAUUGAAACUUUUAUUCUAAAUAGACUGGUAGAACCUUGGAACAAGUAUUGGUACAAUGAUCAGCACUAAAGGCUUGGGUCUAUACCAAGGCAACCAAUCACUAAACAGCUGUUUGUGAAUAAUGUCUGUGUGACCAUCCAAGUGCUCCACCACAUUCCCCUUGUAGAAACAAAAAUCCCACCUGCAUGCCCACAAUUAAUGUGUUUUAAGGACACUAUUAACAACUUCCAUACUAAAUAAAUUACUAAAGCAAUGUUGGUUUAUAAAAUUGUAUCAUAAUCAAAUUGCUCACUACUACAUUGCUAUAACCUAACAUCUACUAUUAAACGUUUUUUUAUUUGCAGUUCAUUUCAUUUUUCUUUUCAAUGGAAGCACCCUAUUUAACCUAGGCCUAUUGUCAUUAUCAUUAGACAUAAAAUGAUACGAUCUGUGUUCAAUGUCCAGUUAAAAAUUCUGUACGAUCUUGCUACAAGAUUUAGUCAAUGAUAAACUUGUUGACGGAAUUUGGAGACCUUUCUCACAUCAUUCACAGGUUUUGGGGGAGAGUAAAGAGGGGAAGGCAAUUUGACAAUAUGCAAGUAUGCUAUUAUUUUAUUUGGUAUUUAUGCCUGGUGUCAUGAGCUUGAUGAAUUUUUUUUUUCACCUAUGUGGGAUAAAUUAGUCUUUUGAUAUAGUUAUGACGAUUGGUUAAUGCUUGCAUACCCUAAAUGGGAGAUAAGAGAGACUAGUAAGCUUUGUUUGGAUUAUAAUUCUUUGUUUGCUCUGGUUUUUAUUUGCUUGGCUCUAUACACUUUCCAUUCUCUUGUAACGUUGCAGUUCCUUCUACAUCCAAUCACCAAAUCUUAAGAAUAGCAAU